rnacentral:tRNA from 1 species
GCCCGCGUAGUUCAAUGGAGAGAACAGGCGCCUUCUAAGCUUCAAACACAGGUUCAAUUCCUGUCGCGGGCU